UAAUAAUAAGCCCGCAGGGCAGCUUGUGGCGAGCUGUUGGGGAGUAACGACCCCACGGACCCGAGUGCUCCAGAGAGUCGGUCAGGGUCUCCAUCUCCGGCGUGUCUUUGUCGGUCGGAGUGGAACCUCAAGGGGACCCGCAGGACUCUCGGCUCUGGCUUGCCUUCAUUGGCCGUCCAGAGAGGAGUCUUUCAGGGGCCCAUCUAGUCAGCGGCGAGUCACCACCUGCCUCGAUAACGUGU